rnacentral:rRNA from 1 species
GACGAACGCUGGCGGCGUGCCUAAUACAUGCAAGUCGAGCGGGCUAAUCCUUCGGGAGAGGCUAGCGGCGGACGGGUGAGUAACACGUAGGCAACCUGCCUGUAAGAUCGGGAUAACUACCGGAAACGGUAGCUAAGACCGAAUAGCUGGUUCUUCCGCAUGGAGGAAUCAUGAAACACGGUGCAAGCUGUGGCUUACAGAUGGGCCUGCGGCGCAUUAGCUAGUUGGUGAGGUAACAGCUCACCAAGGCGACGAUGCGUAGCCGACCUGAGAGGGUGAUCGGCCACACUGGGACUGAGACACGGCCCAGACUCCUACGGGAGGCAGCAGUAGGGAAUCUUCCGCAAUGGGCGAAAGCCUGACGGAGCAACGCCGCGUGAGUGAUGAAGGUUUUCGGAUCGUAAAGCUCUGUUGCCAAGGAAGAACGCCCAGGAGAGUAACUGCUCUUGGGGUGACGGUACUUGAGAAGAAAGCCCCGGCUAACUACGUGCCAGCAGCCGCAGUAAAAC